rnacentral:rRNA from 1 species
AGUGAACGCUGGCGGUAGGCCUAACACAUGCAAGUCGAACGGCGGCACAGUAAGAGCUUGCUCUUACGGGUGGCGAGUGGCGGACGGGUGAGGAAUACAUCGGAAUCUACUUUUUCGUGGGGGAUAACGUAGGGAAACUUAAGCUAAUACCGCAUACGACCUACGGGUGAAAGCAGGGGAUCUUCGGACCUUGCGCGAUUGAAUGAGCCGAUGUCGGAUUAGCUAGUUGGCGGGGUAAAGGCCCACCAAGGCGACGAUCCGUAGCUGGUCUGAGAGGAUGAUCAGCCACACUGGAACUGAGACACGGUCCAGACUCCUACGGGAGGCAGCAGUGGGGAAUAUUGGACAAUGGGCGCAAGCCUGAUCCAGCCAUACCGCGUGGGUGAAGAAGGCCUUCGGGUUGUAAAGCCCUUUUGUUGGGAAAGAAAAGCAGCAGGUUAAUACCCCGCUGUUCUGACGGUACCCAAAGAAUAAGCACCGGCUAACUUCGUG